CAAAUUUUAGUUUAAAUGAAAAUUAUUCUUUUACAUUGAAUAGAUAUAAAAAUUUUUAUAGAUUUGA
rnacentral:tRNA from 1 species